CGUUCUAUGGCCGAACUGGUGAAAGCAUCACCAGUUACAGGCAAAGAUGCGGGUUCGAGUCUCGCUGGAAUGG
rnacentral:tRNA from 1 species